rfam:Salpingoeca sp. ATCC 50818 unplaced genomic scaffold supercont1.27, whole genome shotgun sequence.
GGCCUCGUGGUCUAGGGGUAUGAUUCUCGCUUUGGGUGCGAGAGGUCCCGGGUUCAAAUCCCGGCGAGGCCC